UACAGAGGUCUCAAGCGUUGUUCGGAUUCAUUGGGCGUAAAGGGUGCGUAGGUGGCGCCGUAAGUCGGGUGUGAAAUUUCGGAGCUUAACUCCGAAACUGCAUUCGAUACUGCGGUGCUUGAGGACUGGAGAGGAGACUGGAAUUUACGGUGUAGCAGUGAAAUGCGUAGAGAUCAUGAGGAAGACCAGUGGCGAAGGCGGGUCUCUGGACAGUUCCUGACACUGAGGCACGAAGGCCCAGGGGAGCAAACGGG
rnacentral:rRNA from 1 species